rnacentral:rRNA from 1 species
AUGAACGCUGGCGGCGUGCCUAAUACAUGCAAGUCGAGCGAACAGACGAGGAGCUUGCUCCUCUGACGUUAGCGGCGGACGGGUGAGUAACACGUGGAUAACCUACCUAUAAGACUGGGAUAACUUCGGGAAACCGGAGCUAAUACCGGAUAAUAUAUUGAACCGCAUGGUUCAAUAGUGAAAGACGGUUUUGCUGUCACUUAUAGAUGGAUCCGCGCCGCAUUAGCUAGUUGGUAAGGUAACGGCUUACCAAGGCAACGAUGCGUAGCCGACCUGAGAGGGUGAUCGGCCACACUGGAACUGAGACACGGUCCAGACUCCUACGGGAGGCAGCAGUAGGGAAUCUUCCGCAAUGGGCGAAAGCCUGACGGAGCAACGCCGCGUGAGUGAUGAAGGUCUUCGGAUCGUAAAACUCUGUUAUUAGGGAAGAACAAAUGUGUAAGUAACGAUGCACGUCUUGACGGUACCUAAUCAGAAAGCCACGGCUAACUACGG